GAUGAACGCUGGCGGCGUGCCUAAUACAUGCAAGUCGAGCGAACAGACGAGGAGCUUGCUCCUCUGACGUUAGCGGCGGACGGGUGAGUAACACGUGGAUAACCUACCUAUAAGACUGGGAUAACUUCGGGAAACCGGAGCUAAUACCGGAUAACAUGUUGAACCGCAUGGUUCAACAGUGAAAGACGGUCUUGCUGUCACUUAUAGAUGGAUCCGCGCCGCAUUAGCUAGUUGGUAAGGUAACGGCUUACCAAGGCAACGAUGCGUAGCCGACCUGAGAGGGUGAUCGCCCACACUGGAACUGAGACACGGUCCAGACUCCUACGGGAGGCAGCAGUAGGGAAUCUGCCGCAAUGGGCGAAAGCCUGACGGAGCAACGCCGCGUGAGUGAAGAAGGUCUUCGGAUCGUAAAACUCUGUUAUUAGGGAAGAACAAAUGUGUAAGUAACUAUGCACGUCUUGACGGUACCUAAUCAGAAAGCCACGGCUAACUACGUG
rnacentral:rRNA from 1 species